rnacentral:misc_RNA from 1 species
UCAUUUGCCCCAGUUUUCUCAUUCGCCCAAGCAGGAUGAUUAAAUUUGCCUCUUUUCAGACCCACUUCGAUCCUUUCUCUGGCGAAGACCAAAUCUGUAAAGCUUGAAGGCGCGUACCCCACCAUCUUUUCAUGGUAGAACACUGGUAAUGUGCCUAUUAUUAUUAUGAUCAUCUCCUUCUCCGUCAUUGGAGGUGCCACUUGAGCUA